rnacentral:miRNA from 1 species
GUUCAAAACUGAACCGAAAAUGCAAGACUUGCUUUAAUUGUUUUCUGUCAGUGUUUAUAUUCAUUGAUCUAGCACAUGUAAAUAACAUGAGUUCCAUUAUAGUAAAUAAUACAGAAAGAAAUUGAAAGAAAACGUUAAAGCAAGUCUUGCAUUUUCGGUUCAGUUUUGAAC